UUGAAAGGGAAACGAUUGAAGUCAGUCGUACCAGCGGGAAAUCAACCUUUCGAGUGGGGGUUUUGGAGUUUUGAAGAGUUUCAAAACCUUUGAGAUUUCAAAAAUUUCGCUCUUUUGGUGUACUUUCUCGUGGGUAGGUUAACAUCGACUUUGAUCAUCAUAAAAAGAUUGGAGGAAUGUAGCUUCGAUCUUGUAUUGAAGUGUUAUAGCCUUUGGUAAAUGUGAUGAUUAGGAUCGAGGAUUGCAACGAAUACCCUUUUGGGCUAUCCGCCUGAUCUCUGAUACGUGGCCUUGGUAUCGAAAGCUUGCUUAUGGUAUUAAGGUAUUACGGUCAAAAGGUUAGAACGGAUUACAUUCGUUAAGGAUGUUGACGUA
rnacentral:rRNA from 1 species